ensembl:lncRNA
GGUAUGGUAAACUGAUGCUCUGAAGUAAAGAGAGAUUGGAGAUGUGCCUUAGCACGUGCGAGAGUGUUCUCCUAGCUGAUCCUAACCACAAACCCACGUAUGGUAAUCGCUGCCGGGAGAGUUCUAAAGGUUUAGUGGCCAGGUGGUCUUCUUUAUGGACUCAGCGAGGACCGGAAGACUCGGAGAGAAACCGGUGUGACGUAAUCCUCGGUUUUCCUCGCCUGGUCUGUGAUGCUGCCCUCUGUGGCUAAAGUAUCUAUUGUAGCCUUCAGUAAUGUCCUGCUUUCCCUUGUGGCUAUGUGUAGUAUUUACGGCUUAUAUAUUUGGUCCUACCCCCUAUUGGUUAAGUGAGGGAAAUACAGCUUGUGUUCCUAAAAUACGUAACAGUCCCUCCUUGGUCAUCUUAGAUGACCAUACAAAAAUAUUUUAGAUCAUAAACACCAUUUACCACACCGAAAACAUAGUCAAAGUAGAAUCUAUCAUCAACACCAUCAACCGUCGUGGAAGAACCUCUUGAAGAGAGGGGAAAAACCACUACGCGUCCCCAUAAUACUGAGACGGCAUUCACGUUGUGGGUCUUGUUGAAAAUACAGGUCAUUAUUUAACAAUACAACAAUGAACAUGAAUCUUGUUAUCAUACAAUCACAUGGCCAAACAGCACACAAACAAAACUAUCAAUAGAAAUCCUGAGCUAAUACUUUUGGUCAUGUGCUACAAGGUCAUAAAAUAUUCAACAGGUGCGAAAGUAACGUAAAAAUUGAUGGUCAUAACACAAUUUUAAAAUUUCAAAAUGAUUGAUAAACUAAAAUGGAUUUGGGGGUUCAAGUGAUCUUCGUGUAUUGGUGCGCCGGUUCCUGUGGGUGGUUUGGGCAUGGAUUUGGGGAGUUCAAGUGAUCUUCGUGUAUUGGUGUGCCGGUUCCUGUGGGUGGUUUGGGCAUGGAUUUGGGGAGUUCAUUGUUUUUUUCUGUCGCCGUCGGGUCUGUAAUUCAUGAACCCAAGACUCGUCCCUCCUUGUCAAGGGCUCAUCUCAGAGAGGUUACUCCUACACCAUGGGAGCCUCCCCACAGGUUCUCCGUCGUCGUGUCAGCAACAGGUGGCCUGUAAAACAAUCGUCUCAAGGAAGAUCAACAGUACCAUUAUCAAUGCAGCGAUUCAGAAAUAACGGGUUGCAUUCGCAACACUAUACAAUAACAAACAGCCUGGUAUGGUUGUUGGAAAUGUGUUAUUCAAGUAAAUCCGGGAUAUUGAUUAUCUUAUAUACAGGCGCUUCUACUAGAAUAGUAUAGGUGUUGACUAUUCUACAUAUUACAGCUGGAUAUGGUCGGGCCCCUCAGGUGAU